rnacentral:misc_RNA from 1 species
UGUAGGAGCCGGCUUGCUGGCGAUGGUGUGUCAGUUGACGUCUAUGUAGCUGACCCACCAUCGCCAGCAAGCCGGCUCCUACA